AUUGUUAUUUUCUAUCUACGUGACUUUACCCGAAAGAACCAAGAAUAUAGUUACGACUGUACUCUGGUCGCCACGGAUGAAGAGGCCGAGUGGGCUCGGUUCAACUGUUGCCAGGUGAUGGGGUCGUCCAUGUUGGGUGUCAUUGCGGCCAAAAACAAGCAGCAGUACGAAGACCAGGACUCCCUGGUCUACCAUGAGGACGAAAUUGGCCUCGCCCGGUCACAAAAUUCCAAGCUACAACCCUCCGGAGUCCACCCCAUGGGGCUCGCCUUCUCCCCGGCCUAAAAAACCCAGACAGUACUAGUGCAUCAUGCAUGCGGUGUCAACAAGAGUACCUGGGGUGGCAGCAUUGGAUGUCCCGGCAGCAACCGGGGUGGUGGUGGCAGUGAGGAAGCUGCCAGCAGCUGCUAGGGUGGCAGCGUUGGAUCUCCCGGCGAGAGCCGGGGUGGUGGUGGCGGCAUUGGAUCUGUAUGUGGCAACCAUGGUGGUAAAGGGGGCGAUGAAUCUCCAGGCAGCAGCCGGGGUGGUGGUGUCGGCAUUGGAGCUGCCAGCAGCAGCUGUGGUGGCAGCGCUGAAUCUGCCAACAUCAAGCGCCAUGGCGGUGGGGGUGAAUGAUAUGCCAGAAGCAGUCGGGGUGGGGGUGUCGAUGCAUCUCCCAGCAGCAUCCCUGGUGGUGACGGCAGAACUGCAUGUGGCUGCCAGGGCGGCGUUGGAGGCAGUGGUGGUGUUGGUGAAGACUGUGGCCGUGGCUUUCUCCAGCUCCUUGAGCUAUCGACGCAUAAAACACAUCGGGACUGUGAAAAUUACGGCUUCGUAUUACCAAUAUCUUACCUGUCCAGAGAAGCCCAUGCACGAACGUUGUACAUAGAAACCUAUAGACUCAGAGGCCCAUAGACUGAGUCACAAAUAGCAGUGGAUAGGGUCCGGAACGCUGUGGUGGAAGUAAAAAUAUGAACCCAACUGCGUGCUUCUGAAUGGAACCAGGGACCCAAGAAGUGUCAUCAUAGGCUUUCCCUCACAAUCAAGGAUGAUUGUCUUCCAGAGAAAAUUUGGAUUUUCCGUGGGUCCAAAGAUGGCUGAAGAGACCAAUCUGGGAUCGACAGAUUCUGCCGCAACUCGGGCACGUGUCCAGAAAUAGUGGUGGGUGGAACUGCGUUAGUCAGUCGGGCAGCAGCUUAUUGUUUCCGCCAUUCCCACUUUUCCUGUUUCUGCUCUUAAGUUUUAAAAUGUUUGGCUCCUUAAAAUAGACUCUGUCUCCAUGUGAGGUGAUCCUGGGAAAGAGACUUCCUUGAGGUAGUGUCGAUGGAGCACUUCUUCAUGUUGGCCUUGAGGACAUCCUUGAAGCACUUUCUCUGACGGCCUAUAUUCUCCCACUGUUGGUGAAUCAAGUUUGAUAGUUUUUCAUUGAGGCGUUGGCGGAAGAGGUCUUGCUUAAUGGAGUCCUAUAAAGCUUCAAUGUUAAUCUUCUGUAGACAUCUCUUCGAUGAAGCCGUCGCUUGGGAGCCAGUUUUAUGAGCAUGGUUGAGCAGAUGAGUCGAUGAUCAGUCCAGCCACCAGCAGCUACUAGAACAGCCUGGAUGAUGCAGACAUCUUUUGGAUCCUGGGCAUGGACAAAGACGUAAUCGAUCAAGUGCUGGUGCUUAGAUCACAGACGAUGCCAUGAUGUUUUGUAUUUGUUUUUCUGGCGUAACAGAGUGUUGAUGAUGAUGACUCCAUUUUCCGUGCAUUUAGUCAAGGGAAAGAUGCUGUUGGAAUUGACUUCACCCAUUCCUUCCUUCCCGAUGGUUCCAUUACAGACGUUUAUGUCUCUUCCAACUCUGGCAUGAAAAUCACCGAGCAGAAUAAGUUUGUCUCCCACAGGAACAGUAGAAAGGACCUAGCCAAGGUUGACAUAACAUUCUUUUUUGGUUUCAUAAUUGGAGUGAAGAGUCAGGGCAUAUACGCUGAUGACAGUGGAAUAUUGGCUCCCCACCCGUUUGAGACAUAGCCAUGAGGCGCUCACUGAUUCCGAUAGGUAACUCAUCAAGUUCAUUCUUGAUGGAGAAACCAACUCCGUGCAGCUGCCGCUGUUCUUCCUGUCUGCCUUUCCCGAAGAGGGUACCGCCAUCCUUGUUCCUUGAGCUGCCCCUCCUCUUCUCGUCGAGUAUCAUUGAGGGCAGCCACGUCAGUGUUGUAUCGUCUGAGUUCCUGGGCCACGAUUAUGGUGCAGCAUUCUGGGCGUUCACUUUUAGGUAUGUCCAUAAGGGUCCUGACAUUCCAGUUCCCAAAGGCAACUAUCUGAAUUUGAUUGUUUCCACCACAGUAAUGGGGAUCCUUCUGAACGUGGUUAUCCAGUCGGGAAGGAGUGAGACAGACUAUGUUUAGGGCCACUUUUCUAGCCCGUUCCCCACGUGGGGUGAGCAGAGUGGAUCCUUUAAAAGGACUGCUUAGUCGCAGUUAUAGCUGCAGAAACACACUCUUGUUUCUGCUGAGUGUUAGACAACCUUCUUGUAGCUGCCACUUGUGUGCUAGUUUGUGGCUAGAAGCUUCUAGACUUCACACUCAUGCUCCCGUCGUCACUAGUUGGUCACCAAAAAAAUUGUAUUGAAUGUGCCAGAAGAUGUUGUUCCUUUAAUGAAACACACCUUAGCAUGAUUUAUUUUAUUGUGGAGAAGCUGUUGUACAGCAGCUUCCACGCAGUUCUUGAGAGAAUGUGAACAUGAAUCCAAUGGCAAGGAGACCAGUACGAUUGGAGAUAUCGUUUUGCUGCAGUCUUGGUCCGCCUUCACAGCUGUUGAGACGUUAACAUCUUCUUCCUCCUGCUCUGCUAUUGAGGACUUGUUAACCCAUGGUAUGCUUAUUAUAAUGGCGACCUAUACUCACCAUGUCACAGCAUAGUUACAGAGUAUAUGUGGCUUUUGAAGAGGAAAACCAUUGGCAUUUUCAGUCCGAACCACACCCUGGUGGGGCUGUCACUGCUUGGUCUACAACUGCUUAUCCGCCAGGGUUGCCGCUGCUUAUUUUGCAGCUAACCUUCACAGAAGGUCGUUCCACUAUCCACCACCUGCGGACGUGCUAGGUAGCAGUGCAGCUCUGCCUCCAAAGUUUAGUGGCGGAUUGUCUAUAUAUAUCUACGUACAUAAAUGACAAGUAGGAAGAAGUAAGAAUAGGUUUUACUCUUUCUGGCAAUAAAACAGGUGUCAAGAUGUUAAAACACCAAAUAGAUACCUUUGUCAACAAUCAAGUCUGCAUUAACCAUAAAUACUCGUUGAGAACAUGCAAACAAACAUCCUCUGAUAACACUAUGUAACACAAUUUUUGUUCCGAAGUAGUAAGUGUUAUUUCGUAAUUGCUUAUGCCAAAAAAGUAUAGAAAAUGGAUAUUAUUCCCCACAAACUUUGCUUUUGUGACCAGGACAGUGCUAUUUAGAAAUUUACAUAUUUUCAAUGAAAAAACAGACCAAUUUGUGUAUUUUCGUUCAGGUAAAGUCAGAAAAAACAACAUAUGAAUAAAAACUAACAUGUAUUUAUACUAAAUUAAUGCAAAAAUGACGACAAAAGAUUUAGAAGUGAGUAGUUUUCGAGAUUGACGAUUAUACUGUAAAUCACGUUCUCACUAUCUCCAGGUGAUUUGCUCGUUAGUUUCGAAGUAGUUUCUUUGUUCACCAAAGUUCCUGUGCCUGACACCAUUGCAAUCAUUGAAGAUCAAGUCCAACAAGGAUUGAAUGCUGAUGUACCGGCCCUGGUUAG